GCGCCAACCACAAAGAAGAAGACGACAGGAAGUAGUUUAAAGAUCAUGGCGCUGUAACGCUGCGGUCUGCUGAGGAGUGUCUUGGUGCGCCCACCAGAGGGCCUCCUGACCUACUAGCGUAGCGCAGAUCGAGAUGGCAGAGGGAGAAAGAGCGUGAGCAGCGAGACAUUUCGGCUUUUAACCUGCUGACGGACAGCUGUUUCGUUCACAUUGGUGUGCGUUCGUGACCGAACUUACACCAAUGGUAGUCAUCAUUGGCAAACACCUUUUUGCCCUCCAGCAGGGAGAUGCAGGCGGGAUCUUGCGGAGACCCAAGGUCAGUGGAGGUCUGACGGGACGUUGAUGAAUGGAUGUGAAGGGUGUCAUCCUGGAUAAACAGCGCCCGGGCCCACAUGCUGCUACAUCCUGAAAAAUACGUCUGUUCCACCAGCAGCCCAGGGAAAUAGUUUGGAGGUUUCACACAUCCUUUCGAUUGCACACUCUGUCUUUCUCUCUGCGUGGAACGUACAUCAUUCCCCGUGUACGAAAAGAAAAUAAGGAAAAUAACACAUACCCAUCUUAUAGUCCGAACCACACAAACACACAUGCGUUACACUGACACUGAAGGGUAAUAUCUGAUACAUGACACAGAGAACACUCUCCGUUUCCCAGUAAAGGUCACUGUUUUUUUGACAAACUGGAUCUGCUAACAUUCGUGCCUUCAACACGCUGUUACGGCCAAAUAAAUGCGUCUGUCUUCCGGCUAA